GACGAACGCUGGCGGCGUGCUUAACACAUGCAAGUCGAACGGACAGGCCCUGAUCUUGUGGGGUGCAUGUGAGGCGAACGGGUGAGAGUAACGCGAGGAACCCGUACUUGUAAUUCGGAUAACACUAGGAAAAUGCGGCUAAUACCGGGUAGGAGAUCCUGCUGCACGGUGGGGGUUGGUAAGUGUCGGCGGUGGGGGAUGGAAUAGCGGGUUAUCCGCUUGUUGGUGGAGUAGUGGAUUACCAAGUCUUUGAAGGGUAGGCGGCCUGAGAGGGGGACCAGCCACAUUGCGCCUGAGGGACGGCCCAGAAUCGUACGGGAGGCAACAGGCGGGAAUAUGACACAAUGGGCGGGAGCCUGAGGCAGCAACGCCGCGAGCGUGAUGACGUGCUACUGGUGGUAAACCGCUGUCGCCGGUGACGAAGCGUUAGUGACGGUAAUUGGUAAAGAAGCACCGGCUAACUACGUG
rnacentral:rRNA from 1 species